rnacentral:misc_RNA from 1 species
GUGAAUCAUCGAAUCUUUGAACGCACCUUGCGCUCCUUGGUAUUCCGAGGAGCAUGCCUGUUUGAGUGUCAUUAAAUUCUCAACCUUCCAACUUUUAUUAGCUUGGUUAGGCUUGGAUGUGGGGGUUGCGGGCUUCAUUAACGAGGUCGGCUCUCCUUAAAUGCAUUAGCGGAACUUUUGUGGACCGUCUAUUGGUGUGAUAAUUAUCUACGCCGUGGAUGUGAAGCAGCUUUAUGAAGUUCAGCUUCUAACCGUCCAUUUAUUUGGACAAUUUUUGACAAUUUGACCUCAAAUCAGGUA